rnacentral:rRNA from 1 species
UAGGGAAUAUUGGUCAAUGGACGCAAGUCUGAACCAGCCAUGCCGCGUGCAGGAUGACGGCCCUCUGGGUUGUAAACUGCUUUUAUAUGGGAAGAAACCCCGGGAUGCGUUCCGGGCUGACGGUACCAUACGAAUAAGGAUCGGCUAACUUCGUGCCAGCAGCCGCGGUAAGACGAAGGAUCCAAGCGUUGUCCGGAUUUACUGGGUUUAAAGGGUGCGUAGGCGGAUGCUUAAGCCAGUGGUGAAAUCUCUCAGCUCAACUGAGAAACUGCCAUUGGAACUGGGCAUCUUGAAUUCGAUUGAGGUAGAUGGAAUAUAACAUGUAGCGGUGAAAUGCUUAGAUAUGUUAUGGAACACCGAUUGCGAAGGCAGUCUACUAAGUCGAUAUUGACGCUGAGGCACGAAAGCGUGGGUAGCGAACAGGAUUAGAUACCCUGGUAGUCCACGCCCUAAACGWUGAUUACUCGCUGUUGGCGAUACACUGUCAGCGGCUAAGCGAAAGCGUUAAGUAAUCCACCUGGGAAGUACGACCGCAAGGUUG